GUUUUUCUGGGGACAAUGACCACUUUCUGGCAAUUCAUCAGCUAAAGACCGGGAAACCUAUGUUUAUUUAUCACCAUGUGCAAAGUUUGGAAAAAAGUCUGGACACAGAUAGUUACAAGAAUUCCAAGCAGAAGUUUCAUUCUUCUUCCCACACCAAAAUAAGACAGCUGCACCCUGCAGUAAUUGUUAAAUCAGCAUUCCCCAGACCUGCUUACGACCCGUCAUCCCUCAAUCUGUUAGCUAUGACUGGCCAAGAUCCGGAAGUGGAAAAUCUCCCCAUCCCUGCAACUAACAUAAUUGUUGUGGCUGGAAAAGGAUGGACUCGAGCAGGUUCCUUCUGCUGCUCAAGGGUU